GAUGAACGCUGGCGGCGUGCCUAAUACAUGCAAGUCGAGCGAACAGACGAGGAGCUUGCUCCUCUGACGUUAGCGGCGGACGGGUGAGUAACACGUGGAUAACCUACCUAUAAGACUGGGAUAACUUCGGGAAACCGGAGCUAAUACCGGAUAAUAUAUUGAACCGCAUGGUUCAAUAGUGAAAGACGGUUUUGCUGUCACUUAUAGAUGGAUCCGCGCCGCAUUAGCUAGUUGGUAAGGUAACGGCUUACCAAGGCAACGAUGCGUAGCCGACCUGAGAGGGUGAUCAGCCACACUGGAACUGAGACACGGUCCAGACUCCUACGGGAGGCAGCAGUAGGGAAUCUUCCGCAAUGGGCGAAAGCCUGACGGAGCAACGCCGCGUGAGUGAUGAAGGUCUUCGGAUUGUAAAACUCUGUUAUUAGGGAAGAACAAAUGUGUAAUAAACUAUGCACGUCUUGACGGUACCUAAUCAGAAAGCCACGGCUAACUACGUG
rnacentral:rRNA from 1 species